rnacentral:rRNA from 1 species
GAAACGACUGCUAAGACUGGAUAGGAAGUUUUAAGGCAUCUUGAAACUUUUAAAAGACCCGCAAGGGUAUGCUGAGAGAUGGGCUUGCGGCACAUUAGUUAGUUGGUAAGGUAACGGCUUACCAAGACCAUGAUGUGUAGCUGGACUGAGAGGUUGAACGGCCACAUUGGGACUGAGAUACGGCCCAAACUCCUACGGGAGGCAGCAGUAAGGAAUUUUCGGCAAUGGAGGAAACUCUGACCGAGCAACGCCGCGUGAACGAUGAAGUAUUUAGGUAUGUAAAGUUCUUUUAUUAAAGAAGAAAAAAUGAUGGAAAAAUCAUUCUGACGGUAUUUAAUGAAUAAGCCCCGGCUAACUAUGUGCCAGCAGCUGCGGUAAUACAUGGGGGGCAAGCGUUAUCCGGAUUUAUUGGGCGUAAAGGGUGCGUAGGCGGUUUAAUAAGUCUAUGGUCUAAGUUCAACGCUUAACGUUGUGAUGCUAUAGAAACUGUUUGACUAGAGUUGGAUAGAGGCAAGUGGAAUUCCAUGUGUAGCGGUAAAAUGCGUAAAGAUAUGGAGGAACACCAGUAGCGAAGGCGGCUUGCUGGGUCUUAACUGACGCUGAGGCACGAAAGCGUGGGGAGCAAACAGGAUUAGAUACCCUGGUAGUCCACGCCGUAAACGAUGAGUACUAAGUGUUGGGUUAAACCAGUGCUGAAGUUAACGCAUUAAGUACUCCGCCUGAGUAGUACGUACGCAAGUAUGAAACUUAAAGGAAUUGACGGGACUCCGCACAAGCGGUGGAUCAUGUUGUUUAAUUCGAAGAUACACGAAAAACCUUACCAGGUCUUGACAUACUCUGCAAAGCUAUAGAAAUAUAGUGGAGGUUAUCAGGGAUACAGGUGGUGCAUGGUUGUCGUCAGCUCGUGUCGUGAGAUGUUGGGUUAAGUCCCGCAACGAGCGCAACCCUUAUCGCUAGUUACCAUCAUUUAGUUGGGCACUUUAGUGAGACUGCCAAUGAUAAAUUGGAGGAAGGUGGGGAUUACGUCAAAUCAUCAUGCCCCUUAUGACCUGGGCUACAAACGUGAUACAAUGGCUGUUACAAAGAGUAGCUGAAGCGUGAGUUUUUAGCAAAUCUCAAAAAAACAGUCUCAGUUCGGAUUGAAGUCUGCAACUCGACUUCAUGAAGUCGGAAUCGCUAGUAAUCGCGAAUCAGCAUGUCGUGGUGAAUACGUUCUCGGGGUUUGUACACACCGCCCGUCA